CCUACGGGAGGCUGCAGUGGGGAAUAUUGCACAAUGGGGGAAACCCUGAUGCAGCGACGCCGCGUGAGUGAAGAAGUAAUUCGUUAUGUUAAGCUCUAUCAGCAGGGAAGAAAAUGACGGUACCUGAGUAAGAAGCCCCGGCUAACUACGUGCCAGCAGCCGCGGUAAUACGGAGGGGGCAAGCGGUAUCUGGAUUUACUGGGUGUAAAGGGGGCGUAGGCGGCAGUGCAAGUCUGGGGUGAAAGGCGGGGGCUCAACCCCCGGACUGCUCUGGAUACUGUACGGCUAGAGUGCAGGAGAGGUAAGUGGAAUUCCUAGUGUAGCGGUGAAAUGCGUAGAGAUUAGGAGGAACACCAGUGGCGAAGGCGGCUUACUGAACUAUAACUGACGUUGAGGCUCGAAAGCGUGGGGAGCAAACAGGAUUAGAUACCCUGGUAGUC
rnacentral:rRNA from 1 species